rnacentral:rRNA from 1 species
UACGUAGGGGGCAAGCGUUAUCCGGAAUCAUUGGGCGUAAAGCGCGUGUAGGCGGUUCCGUAAGUCCGCUCUGAAAGCCCAGGGCUCAACCCUGGGAGGCGGGUGGAUACUACGGAACUGGAGUACGGAAGAGGAGAUUGGAAUUCCUGGUGUAGCGGUGAAAUGCGCAGAUAUCGGGAAGAACACCCGUGGCGAAGGCGGCUCUCUGGGACGGUACUGACGCUGAGACGCGAAGGCUAGGGGAGCGAACGGGG